AGGUGGAAGCUGAAUUAGUGAGGAUGACUCCUGCUCCUCUCAUCUCUAAGCUCCUCACACAUCUUUACCUGCACAUGAGGAAAAUCACUCCUGUAGAAUGCAGAUGUUCAGAGGGAGAUGAUGCCACAUCUGGUCCAGCUGAUGGAAGGUCUUGAAGUUCUCUGACUGGCCUCGACUGAAGAUGGUCGUCUCACUGGAUUUAAGAUGCACAAUGAGGGACAUCUGCAGAGACUGAGAAAGAGUCUCACCACAUCCUGACAUGAGGAAAAAGACUUUAUUGAAGACUACAAUGAGAAAAACUAUCAGACAGCAGACAACAUGCAUUCACGGUGAGCUCUGAACAUUUGAUCUGGAACAGGAAUUCAAUAACAGCAGCAUGAGCUUCAUUUCAGUCUGUAGCUGCUGAAUUCAUGGAUGAAUCAUCUGGCACUAGAGAGGAAGACCAUCAAACAUCCACAUCAGCUGAUGGAGGUCCAAGAGUCUCACCAAACAAACAACCUACAGAGUGAAGACCUCAAAUCUGAUUGGACGGCCUCCUAUUCAGCCACAUGUGUGAACAAAUGCCUCUAAGUUGAUUUGUUUUCUAAAAUAAAUCUAGUUUGAGUCCUAA